rnacentral:rRNA from 1 species
UACGUAUGGUGCGAGCGUUAAUCGGAAUUACUGGGCGUAAAGCGUGCGCAUGCGGUUAUGUAAGACAGAUGUGAAAUCCCCGGGCUCAACCUGGGAACUGCAUUAGUGACUGCAUAGCUGGAGUACGGCAGAGGGGGAUGGAAUUCCGCGUGUAGCACUGAAAUGCGUAGAUAUGCGGAGGAACACCGAUGGCGAACGCAAUCCCCUGGGCCUGUACUGACGCUCAUGCACGAAAGCGUGGGGAGCAAACAGG